rnacentral:tRNA from 1 species
AAUUUAAAAAUAGUGUAUUAAUUUUAAACACUUAACUUUUUCGCUGUUAAAAUUCUUAUUAGAUUUAAAUUA